UGGUAUUGAUCCUGGACCAGCUGUAUUUGGGGUGGUGCAUUGUAUCUAUGACGACCCGACCCAUCGUGACAGACAAACAGAUGUACUCGUGUGGUUCAGUGACCCAAAAUGAGGAGGGGAGGAUGUAUGGACUCUCACUAUCACAAGCCAGAGAGCCGUGGGAGAAAAGUGAAGGUUCCUCUGGUAUUGAUCGUGGACUGGCUGUAUUGGGGUAGUGCCUUGUAUCUAUAACGACCCGACCCACACAGAUCAGCAGAUGUUCUCAUGUGGUUUACUGGCCCCAAAAUGAGGAGGGGAGGAUCAAUGUGUGGACUCACACUAUCACAAGCCGGGAGAGCCGUGGGAGAAGAAUGAGCAGUGAUAAUGCCUGGUGCAUGCAGUCUGCUGUAGUGGUCUGUCUCACUUCACUCUGUCAGCUGCUGGGAGAAUAGAACAACAUAAUCCGACGU